rnacentral:misc_RNA from 1 species
AACGGUCUAUACCUGCGGUACCUGCGGAGGGAUCAUUAAAAAGGGUUAAUAGUCCGAUCUAUUUUGUGUGCAUUGAUCGAUCAGUAUACUUUGGCAGAUUUUGUUUUAUUAGAGAUUAAAAUUAAAAAAAAAUUUUAAUUUUAAAUCUCAAGUCUGUCAAAGUUUUUUUUUAUUUCUCUCUUUUAAUAUAAAUAUUAUUAUAAAUUUUUUUUAUUUUUUUUUAUUUAAAAAAAAUAAAAU